CUGGCCUUUAUUCAUAAAAUACCUCGGAGUGAGCAGAGUCACCAUGAGGAGCUAAGGAUGCUGGGUGUCACUGUGGUGUCACAGACUCACAAGACACUUCCAAGUAUCAGCCUAGGUCUGCAGGAAUGGUCCCAGGAGUCAUCCCUAGUGGAGACUCUGCAGCUCGGGUGAGGGGUCCCUGUGUAGAAAGCAUCCCAGAGAUACCCAUCUUAGAGAGGGAUACUUCCUUUGGAAAAGAAGGUUCAUUACUGUGCCACCUGGGAAUCAAAAAUCCUGGAAAAUGGAUUCCACAUUUUUAUCCCACUAUUAAUUAUGCAUCAGGAACGGAUGGCCUGGUGGAGCCAGCAGCACAAUGAGUGAGUGUGAAAGCGCAGAUCCUGUUUCUCAAUUCUGGAAGGAGGCAUGGGGACACAUGAGUCCCACUUCAGCUUGCUCAUUUCUGAGAGGGAGGGUGCUGGACAGCAGAGAAAGAGUGGGAACCAUAGUGAAUGCCUCUCUAACUCACAGUCAGGUUUGACUUUGCACCUCUCUUAUUCCCAGAUCUUCUGAACACUGUUCCUCCAACUGAGGAGAACCAGAUCUCUCACCUGCACCCUACCUUGUUCACUUGUAGACCAAUUGUUUGUCCUGAUGGGGGGUGCAGAUGUGGGGAAGUGAGGUCAGGAGAGGUAAACAGUCUCCCUUCCUCCCUCCCCUAUUAUGCACAAAAAUACACAUACUCUCACACAUACACUUAAAUGUGCAAGGACACAAAAAAUGCACAGCAGACAUACAAACAGAUGUGUGUGCACAGACACAUGCAUGGGUGCCUGCAUUAGCAGUUGGGUGUGCCGCUUUGUGUAGUUCUGACUUUUGCUAUAACUAGCCAGUCUUUGCUCUUUUAUCUUCCUAGCUGAUCUGUGAAUGAAAUGGCAGAAAGUUUGGUUUGUUUUCUUUUUCUUUUACUCUAGUAAUGUUGAGAAAUGCCAUUUAUUUAUAAAAGGAAUUUUACUCCAAGCAAUGGGAAUAAGAAGCUAAGGGAAGUUCCAAGGGCGUCCCCCAGCUCCCAUGGUGUCUACAAACUGCUGGGUUCUGGGGCCCGAUCCUAGAUACUACCAGUUUGAAGCUAUUUUAACAAGCUUGCUUUGCCAUUGGAUAUACUUUCGGUGGCUUUGGAGUGAGAUCAUCACAGUAUGUUUUUAAACCCCUGAGCAGCUGCACUUGAUCCCAACAAAGCUGCCUGGGCUACUGGCUGCUCCCUGAGCCUGAGUCCUAAGGAAGAAAAGUGCCCUUCCCCCUCUCUCCCAUGAGAGCACAGGCUCAGCGCUGCCUGCUUGUUCGGCUGAAAGAUGUUCAUGAGUCAGACCUCUUCCCAUUACCCUGUGUCUGUAUUUCAGUUGGGGUUUACUGCGAGAUUCCUUUGUAGGAUUGCCGUGCAGAGAUAGCCUUUUCCUUCCUGUCCUUGUGAAAACCAGUCAAAAGCGGCAAGAAGAAUGAGAAUAAAAAUGCAAAUGCUGUCUUUAUAACAAAAUCGGAGACAUCUGUAAGUCUGAAACACAAUAUAGGAGGGAAGGCUGCCAAGGAGGGAGAGGGCCAAGAAAGCCCAGGAGGGCUGGGAGGACACCGCAGCUGCAGACUCAGUGACCCAGCCCCAGGGAAAAGCAGUCACUGUGUAAGGAAAGAGGCAAGAAGAUGAUUGGGCUGGGAGCAGGUGUCCUGAGGCAGCCUGCCCCAGAGCCCCAGGAAACAGAGGAUGCAGGGAUGAGAUGGGGAAUUAUAUAGUAAUUGAUACUUCUAAAUAAGAAGAAGUGGGGUGUUGCAAGACAGGGCACGGAAAAAUUCUGCACAGAUCAGCAGCUCUGAUUGGUUGAAGCCAAAUUAAUGUAAAUGAGCUUAUUUACAUGGGUAACCUGAAGGAACAGGACAGCUCCUCUGUUUACCCUAUGGCCUUGGACUUAAUGCCACAUGUGUUUUACCAAGUCAUACACAGAAAGAAUCUUCUUAUUCAGUGAUCAGUUGGGAUUUAAGAGGUGUUGUUUAAGAUACCAAAAGAAAGUUCAUUGAAUUCACAGGAUGAACAGAUUUGAAAAAUACUGCCAAGAGGAAAAACACUGUGACCACAUAUUUCACUAUAAACAUUUAAGAAUCUUGAAGCAGCUUCCUUUACAGAACAAGACAGGAGAGCUCAAGACAGAGGAGCUCAUGAACAAUUCAGUCAGAUGAAAUCAGCUGUAGCUGUGAGGCCUCAGGAACUGUCACGAGCAGUUCAUGCUGGAAGCCCCAGAGAAGACAGACUCACAGAAGCACUAAAAGUACCAGCCUGUUAUGACGUAAAUUAAACGUACAAUUCAAGAAAGUGCUCUAAAAUUAAAGGGGCUGAAACUAUAGUGUUAAGUGUCCCUGGGUGGAGGGCACUUAUGCUUUUUCCUGAGGGGAGGCAUAGAGGGGUGGAUCUGGAAAAAGAGGAGAAUAGGGAGAAGAGACUGGGAGAAGAAGGGGAACUAUAGUCAGGAUAUAACAUAUGAGAUAAUAAUAAAGCUGCUGCUGAUAAUAAUAAUAAUAAUAAUAAUAAUAAUAAUAAUAAUAAUAAUAAUGUAAAGACUGGUGUGGGACCGUAUGGAAGGGGCUCUCUGAGUGUUAUUGCACUUCAGUGCAGAGGAGAGAUGUCUCAAGGUCCAUGGGUCAAGUUGACACCAACCAAGGCACACAUCUAGCUAGUCAAGUCAGUGACAUGACGCCCACAUGUCUCUCAAGAAACAAAGAGUGACAAAAGUCAUUUCAAGACUGUGUCCAUUUUACAACACAGGUGAUAGUAACACUGCUCACUGAGUGUUGGGCUAUGUGGUCUUCUCUUGGAAUUGGAUGGCUACAGCUGUUUCUACAGGGAAACCUGGCAGAGGUAUAUAGCCAAGGAUGGCCCUAACGCCUGAUUUUCUUGUCCCUGAAUUAGUACAGUGACAGGUUUUGCACAGGUAAUUCAAGUUUAAAGUUCAGAGGAUGGGAUUAUUGCCCGAUAGUGCUUCAAGUCUUCCCAGAGGAAGGAGGAGCGCUCCAGUCCUGUGCACAGCAGGUCAUGUUGUGCACAGCAGGUCAUGUGAACACACAGAAAGGCCGUGCACUCGUACACGCUGAUGAAAGACUUCCAGGUAAGUUCUGUGCGCUGGUACCUUCACCUUAGACCUCCUCUCUCUUCCUUUCUUUUAUUUUUGUUAACACCAUUUAGCCCAUGGGAUUUUGUACCACAGCUUGAGUUAAGACAUACUUUUGAGACAUAUCUUCCCCUGGUUUUAAGCAGAAAACCAACAUGAACAGUAAGUAGUGUGUGAGGUUUGCCAUAGUUUGUAUAAAGGAGGAAUACAUACUUAUCAGACUGCUCACAUAUAAGGAAGCAGUCUCUUGAAUAAUCAGUAUUUACCUACCUAACAUCUUUUUAAUUUUUUUAUUAUUUUUUUAUUAUUAUUAACUUGAGUAUUUCUUAUAUACAUUUCGAGUGUUAUUCCCUUUCCCGGUUUCCGGGCAAACAUCCCCCUCCCCCCUCCCCUUCCUUAUGGGUGUUCUCCUCCCCAUCCUCCCCCCAUUGCCACCCUCCCCCCAACAAUCACGUUCACUGGGGGUUCAGUCUAAGCAGGACCCAGGGCUUCCCCUUCCACUGGUGCUCUUACUAGGAUAUUCAUUGCUACCUAUGGGGUCAGAGUCCAGGGUCAGUCCAUGUAUAGUCUUUAGGUAGUGGCUUAGUCCCUGGAAGCUCUGGUAGCUUGGCAUUGUUGUACAUAUGGGGUCUCGAGCCCCUUCAAGCUCUUCCAGUUCUUUCUCUGAUUCCUUCAACGGGGGUCCUAUUCUCAGCUCAGUGGUUUGCUGCUGGCAUUCGCCACUGUAUUAGCUGUAUUCUGGCUGUGUCUCUCAGGAGCGAUCUACAUCCGGCUCCUGUCGGCCUGCACUUCUUUGCUUCAUCCAUCUUAUCUAAUUGGAUGGCUGUAUAUGUAUGGGUUACAUGUGGGGCAGGCUCUGAAUGGGUGUUCCUUCUGUGUCUGUUUUAAUCUUUGCUUCUCUGUUCCCUGUCAAGGGUAUUCUUGUUCCCCUUUUAAAGAAGGAGUGAAACAUUCACAUUUUGAUCAUCCGUCUUGAGUUUCAUUUGUUCUAGGCAUCUAGGGUAAUUCAAGCAUUUGGGCUAAUAGCCACUUAUCAAUGAGUGCAUACCAUGUGUGUUUUUCUGUGAUUGGAUUACCUCACUCAGGAUGAUAUUUUCCAGUUCCAACCAUUUGCCUACGAAUUUCAUAAAGUCAUUGUUUUUGAUAGCUGAGUAAUAUUCCAUUGUAUAGAUGUACCAUAUUUUCUGUAUCCAUUCCUCUGUUGAAGGGCAUCUGGGUUCUUUCCAGCUUCUGGCUAUUAUAAAUAAGGCUGCAAUGAACAUAGUGGAGCACGUGUCUUUUUUAUAUGUUGGGGCAUCUUUUGGGUAUAUGCCCAAGAGAGGUAUAGCUGGGUCCUCGGGUAGUUCAAUGUCCAAUUUUCUGAGGAACCUCCAGACUGAUUUCCAGAGUGGUUGUACCAGUCUGCAAUCCCACCAACAAUGGAGGAGUGUUCCUCUUUCUCCGCAUCCUUGCCAGCAUCUGCUGUCACCUGAGUUUUUGAUCUUAGCCAUUCUCACUGGUGUGAGGUGAAAUCUCAGGGUUGUUUUGAUUUGCAUUUCCCUUAUGACUAAAGAUGUUGAACAUUUCUUUAGGUGUUUCUCAGCCAUUCAGCAUUCCUCAGCUGUGAAUUCUUUGUUUAGCUCUGAACCCCAUUUUUAAUAGGGUUAUUUGUCUCCCUGCGGUCUAACUUCUUGAGUUCUUUGUAUAUUUUGGAUAUAAGGCCUCUAUCUGUUGUAGGAUUGGUAAAGAUCUUUUCCCAAUCUGUUGGUUGCUGUUUUGUCCUAACCACAGUGUCCUUUGCCUUACAGAAGCUUUGCAGUUUUAUGAGAUCCCAUUUGUCAAUUCUUGAUCUUAGAGCAUAAGCCAUUGGUGUUUUGUUCAGGAAAUUUUUCCCAGUGCCCAGGUGUUCCAGAUGCUUCCCUAGUUUUUCUUCUCUUAGUUUGAUUGUAUCUGGUUUGAUGUGGAGGUCCUUGAUCCACUUGGACUUAAGCUUUGUACAGCCUACCUAACAUCUUUUAUCUAUCAUGAUCUCUCUACCUAUCUACCCUAUCUAUCACCUAUCUCUCCAUCCAGCCAUUAUCUAGCUAUCAUGUAUCCAUCAUCCAUCCAUAUCUAUCUGUCGUGUAUCAAUCAUUAAUUCAUCUAUACAUCCAUCAUCUAUCAUUGAUCUAUUACCUAUUGAUCUGUUAUCUAUCAUCAAUCUAUUACAAAUCUACUAUGUCAUCUACCCAUUUUCUAUCUAUAAUAUAUUUAUGUAUUAGUUAAUUUUCAGUUGCUAUGACAAAACUAUGACUAAGGAAACUUAAGAAAAGUAUAAUCUGGGGUUCCUGGUUUAAGGUUCCCAGUUGCAGAGGGUCAGAAUUCAUAACCAUUGUGGCAGGUAGCAUAGCAGCAGGCAGGCAUGGCCCUGGAGCAAUAGGUAAGGGCUCACGUUUCAGUCCACAACCAUAAGGCAGAGAGAGUUAACUGGGAAUGGUAUGGGAACCUCAAAGCCAACCUCCAGCAAUACACCUCCUCCAAUAAAACCACACCUUCUAAUCCUCCCCAAACAUUUCCAACAACUGAGGACCAAAUAUUCAAGUAUGAGUGUUGUAGAAAUUUUUAAUCCCAAUCCAGGGGUUUCUACCCAAGCUUGAUCAUUCAGUUCCCUGAUAAAAGACACACACAACCUUUAUAUUUAUAAUAAGCCUUAAAUAGACUGGGCAGGCAUCUACCCUUUAUGCUAUUAGAAUCUACUUUCCUAUCAGUAACCCUGAAUUAUUACUUACUACGUUUCAUCUGGGCUGCUCUUAACUCCAGUUGGACAGGCCUAAGGGCCACUUUCUUAUGACUCACCACUUUCUUGUGACUCAUGGCAGCUUCUCUCUCUUCCUUCCCCUUCUUCUCUCCUGUGGUUCUCCUCUGAUCCCCAGUCCAGAAAUUCUAAACCCCACCUACGUCUCUUCUCCCUAGCUAUUGGCUGUGACAUCUUUACUUAGCAAUCAGAAAUAACUCAGGGUCAAAGUCACAUAGAGUCACUUGGGUCUACAUGUGGUCUUUCUUGUCUUUAGGACAACCAGGUCUUGGGGGCCCAAUAUUAGCAUUAGACUCCAAGUAGCAUCAUGCCAAUCCAUUACAUAUGAGCCUGUGAGUGACAUUCUCAUUUAAACCACUCUCUGUUUAUCUGUCUGUCUAUCAUCAACAUAUUAUCUGUGUAUCCAUUGCCUAUCUACCUAUCUACCUCUAUAUCAUGGGGUGAUUCUAGAAAAGGAGUUUUUCUCCCUUAUAUCUUUAGAACCUUUUGAGUUUGUACACAUAUCCAUAUAUUAUCUAAACAGCUUGGGAAAUAAUAGUAACAAAUAAUAAAUCAGAGUACAUCAAAUUAAGAAAGCUUGAAAAGUAAAGAGACAUCCUACAGAAUGAGAUAUUCUACUAGUCAUCAGAUAGGGAUGGAUACCCAGAAUAUGCAAAGAACUCAAGAAGUUGAACUUCACAUGAACAAGUGAUAGCCAAGUCAGUAAUGGUCAAACAGUGGCCAAAUGAGCUAAACAGACAGUUCUCAGAAGUACAGUUAACCAAUGCAAACUGAAAAACAUCUGAAGCUAUCAGGGAAACACUAGGAGGAAUGACCAUCAUCAAGGAAAUAAGAAACAGUAAAUGCUUGGAACCCAGGGAAAAGGAGUUUUAUAUAUGCUGAGGGAUGUAAAUUAGUCUACUUUCUAUGGAGAUCAGUAUGCCCAUCCUCUAAGAAAUUAACAUGGACCUAGCUAUACCACUCCUGGGUCUAUACUCAAAAGAAUCUAAGUCAGCACACUACAGAGAUACUGCAUGUCUGUGUUUGUAGAAAUUAUAGUACCCAGGUUAUAGAAUCAGCCUGGAUGCUUAUCAAUGGAUAAAUGGGUAAAAGGGGUGGGGAGGUUGUUCGUCCAUAAAGAAGAAUGAAAUUAUGUCAUUUGCAGGAAAAUUCAGGGGCCUGGAGAUCACUGGAGGAGAGUAAGAAAGACGGAUAUGGUGAAAGUAUGUGUGCAUGUAUGGAAAUGUCAAAGUGAAGCCCAUUAUUCUGUAUACUUCAUAUGUGCUGAAGAAAACAUUUAAAAGAUUUUAUUAUGUAUAUUUGUGUGUCUGUGUUACAGGGUUGGGAUGGGAGGGUGUGUGCCAUAGCACACAUGAGGUGGUCAAAGGACAAGGUAUAGGAGAGUUCUUUCAAAUGCUGGUCCUAGGGAUUGAACUCAGGUCAUCAAGUUUAGUAGCAAAUUCCUUUACCUGCUAGUAAUCUCUACAGCGCUUGCAAUAAGAAUAUUUUAAAUGAAUGUUGGCAGUCUGGUGAUCCCUGAACUUAGAUGUAGUGAAGUUUGCUCAUAGAAUCCAGACAUCAAUGGCUUUGCAAUAACUCUGCGACUCAUGUUUACAUGGGAUUGCCACCUACGAUCCUUAUGUGGCCCAGCUCCAGGAUUUAACUUACUCACUUCCCUUUUUUCCAUAUCAAAGCACAAAUUGAGCUUUGAUAGUUUGGGCACCACUGUUUCAGGGGCUACUGGUUGGGGCUCCAGUUGCUGGGCUGAUGGACUUUACGUCUUUAUGAAGAUGGUGGGUACUGGAUGAAGCAGAUGGUAGAGGUGGUCCUGGAAACUUACCACAUCUCCAAAUACCAGAUGUUAACAUCUCUUUAUAACUUCUUUCAUAACCUCUCAACCAUACUCCUGCUUCCUACAUAUUACCAUAAAAGCACUGUGUACUUUGUCCUAGGAAGUGAGGAAGCUCAGCUCACAGCUCUGAGGCUAUGCUAUCCUUUCCUGUUUGCAUAAGCAACUCGCUAACCUUCCUGAUUCACUGAGCAGGUCCUUUCACAUUGUCUCUGUAAACCUGAACUCUCAAUGCCUUACACUGCCUUUGAGGCAAGCUUGCCCUGGCUUCAUGCAGAUGAACCUCAGAAGCCCAGUCCAGAUGCUCCUCUUCCUCUCAGUGACCUCUGCCUUAGGCUACACUGCCAGCAUGUCCCUGUCUUCUAUUAGGAGAGUCACAUUUUAUGCCUUCUUUCCAAGAUCACUUAAGCUGCAUUUUCUCUUCUACAUCUUUUCAACAACUUCAGCCAAGUCUAAUCUCUCCUUUUUCGAAUUCCUAUUCAUGACAAUUGCUCUUCAGAUUCUUCUGAUUUGCACGACUUGAUCCCCUGCUAAGUGAUGAGCUCCUUUAGUCCCCCUUUCUAAUGUAUUCCACAUGGCCUCUGUGAUAAAGCUGGAUGCCGUGGAGGCUCAGUGGCUGUCUUAUUAGCUAAUUGCCAGGCACCCUUAGAGAAUAAUUCACAGGGUUUACCACAUGCCAGGAGCCUGCUUCUCUGCAGCACUGUGGUAGUGUAAUCUCUGUCUGUGCUCAAUGGUUUCCCUUGUGUUUGAUAUUGUGUGAACACACUGAUAGUGUAUGUUCUCCCAACUGCCAUGGUUUCUCUACUUUGGAGGUCUCCAGGUUAAAGCAUGGGUAUUGUAACAAGGACAGAAACAAGCAGUGUAGACCUGUAAUGUAGACAUGUAGUUGCUCUACAAGUGAAAGCAGAUAGAAGAGGUUUUCAGCCCCUGGCAAGAGGAUGCGUUGUGUCUCUUAGAAGUGUGAUCCUGAGCAAGGAGGAGCUAUAGGCCUGAAAGGUUUUUUGCCUUCUGAAGCUUCCUAGCCCUUGUCCUUAAGAAACUUGCCUCUUGGCUGUGUCUCUACCCAAGACUAGGUCAUUCCAAGACUUGGGCCAGGCUUCACCAACAGAUGGAUGGCAGAGAGAAGAGUCUGGCCAUGGGGACGGUCACCUAGCACCUAUACAGUCCUCCUGACGUCCCCUCCCUUCUGUGCAGCAGUCCUAUGUGGGUAUACUCAGGAGGGAGUGAAGAGAAGAGGAGACCUUUGAAAAAGCAAGGGAUUUACUACCUUUCCCUGAUGUCAGCACAGCUGGACCCUUAAGUAUAUGAGAGUCAUGUCUCCAUGGAUGUGCUAUCUUUUUCUAUUUGCAGGCACCUCUAAUGACUCUGGUUAGUUUAGUUAUGUAAGUUCAUGCUUUCUCUGUCACUAUCACCCACAAUAUUCAUUUUCCUGUCACCAACCAGCCUCCCCAUGGGUCCUUGCUAAAGUUACCCAAGCAUCUAAGGACUAUGCCUCCCUUCUGCUUCCUGCCUCAUGUUUCUAGAAGCAUGGAAUACCUGAGGACACAUCCUGCAUUUUCAGAUCAGUCUUCACUUUCCAGCUGCAUGGUCGUAAACAGUCCUUGAUGUGGUUGAACUGCUGUGGAUAUGUAUGAAUUCCCAGUAAAACUGCCAUCAGUUUGAUUGUCUCAGUUACAGUGAACAGUAAAAAUGAACCAGAUGCCGGGAGAAGCAACAAUGGAAUUGCUGAAGAAUUUGGGAGAAAUAUCCCCAAACCCAACAUUGGCAAAAUGAAGACUUCUGUUCAAUGGAGUUUUUGUUUAGUGAGCAUCCUUCAUGUGCCCAGAACUCUGAAAGUCUGGAGAAGGGUGGAAAGUCGGUGUGAGCUCAAACAGAUAGGUACUACUACCUCAGAGAUGUGUGUCCACCACUUACAGAACAUCCCCAGCUGCUGUGCCACUUCUCUGGCUGACAUCUCUCCAAGCAACAUGACAGCCCAUCCAAGCAGUGAAACAUUAUGAGAAGACUGGAUCCUCAUUGACUACUAUCCCCAUGAGGCUGAAGAUACAUUAGGCUGGCCUAGCCAUGGCCCCUAGUUAGUGGUUGGUUUUUAAGUCCCUUUGGCCAGGCCAAUCCCCAGGGACCUGAUCAAGCUCCAAUGUAGGAACUCCUCUGAUGAUGAUGCGGCUAAGAACUACACAUGUCAACACUAACCAAAGCUAGUGACCCUACUUGGUAUAUCUUGGCCUCCAUUUUACUUGAGGCUUCCAGAGCAAAGCUGAGCUUCCUAGAAGAAAAGCUACUCUCUCUCAGGACAGCUGCCUCAGCAUCUUCUAGUUCCAGUUUCCUACCUGCCAGGAGCUCUGGAUGCCAGUCCUGUGGAGGAGUAAGCCAGUUCUCUGUGACCAACCUCUAAUGUUUGCUUCUGUGAAUAUCCAGACUUCCUAACGUUCAAUGGAGUCAUCAGGACAGACUCUAAUCCUGAAGAAGCCCAGGAGCACCUGGCCUGUUUCCAGUUUUAUGACCCAGGCCCUUGCUCUUCUCCACACACACACCAUGUGUGGUCUGUUUGUUAUGGAGUCAUGAUAGUACUCCAUAGUGCCUUUCUAAACCCACUCUUUGACAUGGAUCCUAGGGGAUCAUCUGGCCAUAGUAUAUUCUCAACUGAUGCCUGCAAACAGAGAAGGAUUUACCUUGUGCAGCAGACCCCCCACCCACAUACACCUUCAUAGGGAAGGAUUUACCUUGUGCAGCAGAUCCCCCACUCACCCACAUACACCUUCAUAGGGAAGGGUUUACCUUGUGCAGCAGACCCCCCACCCACCCACACACACACCUUCACUUUUUGUUUUCCCAGUGUGGGAUCUCGAAUUCAGAGGAUACCUUUGCCUUUUGUGUACAUGUCUCUGAACGCCCACCCUCAUCUGUAAUGGACAUACCCAUUGUUAAAGAGAGGGUUGGAAAAUGAGUACCCAGUUCUCUCAUGAACCCUGUAUCUUCAAGUCUUAGUAUGCAGUAACUCUGUGUUUAUCGUGUCUUAUACUUUAAUGUGACCAGAGAGGCAAAGCUGCCUCCUGUACGACCUCUGAGGAAACUCAGUCAGUGGUGAGUGAGGGCAAAUGCCCUCUCUUACUUGCCUGCCACCUUUAAGAACCCCUGCUCUUAACUGGAUUCCCUUCUGCAGCACUCUCUGGAUGGAGGAGGGGGUCAGAAAAACACAGGCAACAAGCAAGGAGCAUGAGGCAGUGGACAGCAGAAGGCACUGAAGAUGAAGGGGCUCACCCAGAUGCAGCUCUGUCCUCCAGGAGCCCAGACCCAGCACACACAGGAGUCCAGGCCUCCAGAUCUCUCUUGCAUUGUGCCCAGGCAGGUCUGAUUGUCUUGUGUGCUGACUCUCUAGAAGCUGCUUAGUUCCUUCCAAAGCCUUACUUGAAAAGUGGCUUAAGAUGAUCCCAGCAUAGAUAAAAUGUGACAGGGUCUAAUUCCAAGGAGGGGGUCUCAUGACAGAGGUUCAGAUUGAGAAUGUGGUUAGAACAGGGAACUGACUUUGAGAAAUUGUGAUUUGAAUAUAAAAUGUUCCUUAGGCUCAUAUGUUUGAAUCUAGUUGGGAGGAUGUUUAAGGUUUGUAGCACCUAGGUGGUGUUUCACUGAGGAAAGUGUGUUACUAGGUAUUUAUAGGCCUUGACUGUCUCUGGACCAGCCUCAUUUCUAGCUCUUCUCUGUUCUUUAAGAGUGAAUGCACUAUGAACAGCUGCCUCAUAUUUCCUGCUACAGUGCCUUCUCUGACACAGUAGCCUCUAACCAUGGGCCAAAGUGCUCCUGUCCUAGUUACUUUUCAAUUCCUGUGGUAAGACACCAUGGCCAAGGCAGUUUAUAGAAGAAAGUUGAUUGCGAGCUUAGAGUUUAAGAGGAUUAGGCCAUGACCAUCAUGGCUGGAACAUGGCUGUAUGCAUGCUGGCAUGGUACUGGAGCAGUCGCUGAGAAUUUAUAUUCUUAUCAAGUAGGAAGCAGAGGCUAUGGGGAGAAGUCGGAAAUGGUGUAGGCACUUGACACCUCAAAACAUGUCUCCAGUGGUCUUGCACACCUCUUUCCCAAGCAAUUAGUUAUACCAAAUGGGGACAAAUUAUUUAAAUAUAUGAGCCUAUGGGAACUGUAUUCAUUCAAGCCACUAGGACGCCCUUCCUCCCUACAUUGAUUCUCAUCAUUUUGUUACAGCAUUAAGAAAAUUAACAGUUGGCACUGGUGAGAUGGUUCAGUGGUUAAGAGCACUGACUGUUCUUCCACAGGUCCUGAGUUCAAUUCCCAGCAACCACAUGGUGACUCACAACCAUCUGUAAUGGGAUCUGAUGCCCUCCUCUGGUGUGUCUGAGGACAGAGACAGUGUACUUAUAUAUAAUAAAUAAAUAUUUUUUAAAAAAAGAAAGAAAAUUAACAGUUAAUUAUUGUGUUCUUUUUAAAAGCUUAGAAGAACCCUAAAAAUGGCUUCCUUUGCUGAUGUAUUAGCUGUUAACAGGGCUAAGAAUGCCACGCCUCCUCUCAGCCCAUUGGUUUACUAGCUGCAAAGGGAAACAACAGACUCCACAGUUGCACAGAUUCCUUGUAGUCUGUGAAAGUCAAGAUGGAAGUAAGUUCGCUUUAGCCACGUGACUCAGUGAUCGAUCUGAGGAAGGCUCUCUGUUGGAAUGGUUGUUAUUGGUGACUGUUUCUGAUUCCAUCCUCCUUACCACCUAAACUAUAGUCAUUGUACUUGGAGAAGCUUGCUACACUGAAUUUCCUUGUGUUAUAAAAUUUGUCUUCAGUUACUCUUUAAUAAUCCUUUUAGUACUUUCUCUUGGAACCACAAAAAUACGUCUUGGGAAUUUGGAGACCACGGGAUGGGCUCUGCAUCCUUCCCUGUCUUCUUUAGCCUCUCUUACUGCAACACUAUUUUACCUAGUAGGAGAUUUAUGUUUUGGAGUCAUCCUGGAGCUGAGCUGCUGUCAAGCUGCCUUAGAUUAAGCAGGUUUGUCGAAGUUUCUGAGGACACCAGUCUCUAUUUUUAACUUACAAAAUCAGUAUUGAAUCCUCAUCUCCUAAGAUUAUUCUGAAAACGAAUCGUGAAGGCCAUGACUGUGAGUAUAGCCAUGGGCAUGCACCGUGUAUCUGGGCCCCCUUCAGGCCUUAUGUAAGUAAAGUAUUUUUAAAAGAGGUGGUGAGCAAUUAGAUCAUCCAUGGAGGGGCAGGCCCUUGGAUUUUUCACUCAACUAAAACCUUAGGCUUUUGUUUGAAGGACUGAGAUAAACUAGGCUUCCUGCACAUACUUGUAGCAAGUGGUCUAUAAUGUGCAAGGGUGGGGCUUUGAUAUUCCUUCCAACUGAAUUAUAGGCAUGUCCUUAGGCAGGUAUCUAGCCUGUGGACAUCAGUGAGUUUCAGUUCACCAUUAAUCUCACCACUGCCUCAACUUUGUGUGUCAUCUGCACUUCGGUUAAAUAUAUUUUACUUUAAAAAUUGAUGUUGUAGCAAGCAUGGCAGCAAUUGUUUUUAAUUCUUGGGAGGCAAAGGCUGGAACAUCUUUGAGUUCAAGGUCAGGUUGGUCUACAGAGUAAAGUCAAGGACAGCCAGGGGUACACAGAAAAACCCUGUCUUGAGAAACAAAAACAAAAUACAAAACAAACAGAUAUCUAAAAUGAUGCUGGUCUAGUUCAGUCUCUCUUCUUCUUCAAUUGCCCUCAUUGUUGGAUAGCAUUUUUGGACUAUACAUGAGCACUUCAUGACUAACACUGUCAGUGGAGACUCUGACCUCCAUGCCAAGCAGCUUUCCUCAGUCAAAGACAGUCUUAGAAUCAUUGCCAUGGAGGGUGAACUCAUGGAAAGUCUGCCAUGUUACCCUCCCCACAGUGAGUUUCACAUGCAUGCCCUUUGCACUGAUUGUUUAUCCAGCUCAGGCUGGACCAAUGACAUCUCAACCAUUGCAUGCUGUGUCACUGUCAUGAGCAAACCUUCUGAAGGCACAAGCAUACAGAUGCAAGAUACCAACAAACAGGGCAGUGCCACCUUCCAAAAAGCUCUGUGCUAAAGUGUUUUCAGAUGAUCCUGGAUCCUGCAUAGUGAGUGCUGCUGUCCAUGUGACACAGUUAUGGAAACUGGGACUUAGGGAAAGCAGCUCAGGGACUUCCCAGAUAACAGACUAGAAAUGGGGAUAGCUAGACCUAACCCUGUGAAGCUUAGCUUAUAACCUGCAUCUCUACUACUGCUUACUCAUGAGUUGGUGUCAAGAACCAGUAGGUAUAGAGUAUGUUUUCAACAACUUGUUACUCUACCACUUAGUUUGGAAAUGCAAAGAGAUAGAUGAUAUCUUUGAUUGAUAGUUUGACAAUGUUCUUGCUAAGACAUUGGAGACUAAUAUUAUUUUAUUCCUCUAAAACCUUCCCUUUGGCUUUUCUCUCAUGGCUAUGGUGUACAUGUUUACACAUACUGCUAUUACUUGUCACAGCACACUCUAGUUAAAGCUAAAGAGUAAGUUUUAAAGGACUUACUUCCUAUUCUCCUGUGGUUCUUAUAGGCUGAGCCAUGUCCCCAUAUUUUAUAACAGUCACUAGGGUAGGAAACAGAGAUGUCUGUAUCUUUGAUCAAGUCAUAGGCAGUGAGUGUGGAGCCUGAGGACAGUGACCUUGAGUCAUACUGUUCUGAGGAUGGUGACCUUUAAGUGACCUUGAAGUGACCUUGAGUCAUGCUGUGGCAUCAUUAGCAGCAAAUAUCAUUUAAAUUUUUAGUGAUAAUUCUGAUUCAUUGAACAGUGACAAACAGAAGAAUAAAUGCUUUUCCUGGUCAUCAUCAGGCCUAUAUCAUGCUUCUUGCUACUUAGACUAGUCUUUUCUCAAGUAUUAUUCAACAAAGGUUUAACUCUCCAACUUUAUAGUCCAGUUACCUGAACACCUUCACAAUAGACCCUGUAAGAGCAUGACCACAUUCAUAAGAAAAUGCCGUUGUCUGUGGUCAUGUCUGCACUGCCCAGUUUUGAUCACCCGUAUUGAGAUUCUAUUGAAUUGGAUCCUACUUUGUGCCAUGUGUUGUAUAAAUUUUAAACCCUUCAACAAACUGGGUUUUAUGAGAGAGAGAGAGGGAGAAAGAGAGAGAGAGAGAGAGAGAGAGAGAGAGAGAGAGAGAGAGAGAGAGAGAGAAUGUCAAGUACUCUCAGCCAGUAAUGAGCUGGCAUUUUUUGAAAUUCUUCAAAUAGUUAUAAUUACCCAAACAUAGCGAGACAUCUGGUACACGGGAAACAGUCCUCCAAAUAGACCAGUGAGAAAGGCCAGAGAGAGAGAUGGGAAACCAUUAGAAGAAAGAAAUGUACACUACCCCAACAGCAUAGUCCAAAGCAUCCUGAGAGGUCUUGUGAACACCGCUUUCUGCCUCCAUCCUUGUUUUUUAUCAUUGUCCCUCAUCUUCAGAGAUGGCACUUCCACUGUUGAUAUUGUCAUUUCCUGGGCCAAGAUGUCCAUUUGUGUGUGCUUAGAGUGCAUCUGUGCUGUGCUUGCUGCAUGGCAAGGCUGGCAGAUAGCUCAGAUUGCACGCUAUGCCACCAGCCCUUGGGUAUUCUGGGAAGGCCUCCUGCAAAGAAAGCCAUGUGAGUAUUCCCCAAUGUCACCCAGAGGCACUGGCAAUAAGAAUAUAGGAACAUUUAUUUUCUUUUAAGAGAUCUCAAAAUAUUUGACCUUGUCCUUGAGUUGAUCAAAGCAAGCACACAUUGUCUCAUAGCCUUUAAAGUCAACUGAAAUAUAUUCAGCCAGUUUAGAAUUCAGGCUUUAGGAUGUGGGCUCAUGCAUAUAUUCUAAGCCUGGCUUCAGGAAGGGCACAGACCCUGCUAAAGAUAGUUUAUAUCUUUGAGUUCAAGAGAGUAAAUGUAGAGGCUUCACAGAUUGCCCAAAGGCUACUUGCCCACCAGAGAAUGGAGUCAUAGGAGGAGAAUCCUUCAGGAGAUUAGUGAAAUGGACAGUGGGAAAGUAAACACGGACAUUUCACAGUCAGUUUGAGUUCCUCAAUCCAAAACUGACUCAUAGACCGACAGGAGAAAAUAUGUGGACUCACCGCAGGGUACUCCGAGUCAUACUCCAUAUAGAGCAUAAAAGACCUCAGAGGUAAGUGGCUGACCAGGGAACUCCUGGGAUCAGAACUGAAGCAGGGCAGACGUGAACAGUGGGCAUAAGGAGAGGUCCUGGGUAGGGAGCAGGCCUCCCUGGACAUGCAAGAAGGUACUGAGCGGGCCUGGACACAGAAAAGCUCUGACCUCAGCUAAUGCUAUCAUGGACCUAAGGAGAGUAGAGUGCCAGUCACGUGUUGGUCUAGGAUGUUACAGUUCCAUGCCUGGCCUCCAGAACCUACUCCCUAAAACAUACAUGCACCAUACACAAGAACCUUCCUUAUACACUUGGGCUUCAUCUCAUGUAUUAGUGGGUUGUUUCAGUUUAUCUGAGUAAAUUGUCAACAAUAUGGACCUGCAAGAGGAAAAGUAAAGCAGUGGCUGACACUCUAGCAGUAAACAGCCCUGAAUGCUGCCUAAAGGAAGCUCAGCCCCAACCUCAACUCUGCGUUCAGUGGAGCUCAGAGCAUGGACUUACUUAUCUCUAGGGGCUGCUACAGACAGGAGCCUUCAAACUAUGAAGGAGGAAACCUAAACUCUCAUGGGGUAGUUUGCUGACAACCAGAGGUCACACAUGCAAAAUUCAAGUUGUUUCAAAGAUCAUCUUUUUGCCACCUUUGACAAAUAUACACAAAAAGUCACCACAUUUAGAACACAUAGGAGCCAUCUUGUAUGAAGGGCUGAAUGAAAACAGUAAACAGAUUCCAGAGCGAUUAAAAGUAGCAUUAUCAGGUGUGAAGGGAAGUAAGACUCACAUCUCAAAGGUGUCAAGAUUCUGGGCACAUCCCCAGAUGACAUCUCACUGAAGUAAAGCAAAAUGAAACCUGAGAACAUCAAAGCAGGCACUCCCAGCAGCCAGGCAGCAGAAUGUAUGCUGGGGUUGUGAGUGGCCCUGGGCAGAGAUCCUCUUCAGAGAUGGUAUAAAACUGGUUAUUUUGCACCUGUCACAAUUGUCAUUUCAGCCUUUUAAAAGUGUCUACACAGGUGGUUAAUCCAAAUGGAAUGGAUAGAGUCCAGUCAGGGUGAUGCUAACACACAGUUCUGCAUGUAGCUAUCUAGCAAUGGCUUAAAUUCUGUGAAGAAUCCAACAGAAGCAUGACUAGACAGCUUCCACUUCAGAGAAGCAAAGCGCUGCAGUGGGCAGAGUCCAGCAGAGCCUCUCUCUCUCUCUCUCUCUCUCUCUCUCUCUCUCUCUCUCUCUCUCUGUGUGUGUGUGUGUGUGUGUGUGUGUGUGUGUGUGUGUGUGUGCGCGCGCGCAUGUCUGUGUGUACAUAAGCCACAACAGAUAUGUAGUGGUCAGCAACCUCCAUGAGUUGAGCCCUCUAGGCAAACUUUGUAAGAUUUUUAUUUUUUUUAACUUUAGUUCACUUUAGGACUUGCACCAACACUGUGUGUAUGUAUGUAGAUAGUAUAGAUAUAAAAAGAACUCUCACUACUGAAAGAGGUGUAGACAAAAUUUCUAUAUGGGGCUAAGAGGUAUGCACCCAGCCUGUGAGGACACAGAUGGGCCCAGGGAAGGGGUCCAGAAAAGGCUGUCAAACUAUCUCCAAGAAUGAGCAGAUGUUUGCUGAAGGAGUUAGCUGGACGAAUAUAUGUGCAUCUAUAAUAUGAUAUGAUAUAAUAUGAUAUAAUAUGCAUCUAUAUCACACGCUAGGGUGGGUACAUAUGCACACACAUGUACACAUUCACAUGGAUAAGACAGGCGCAUAGUAAGUUUCAGACUUGGGGGUGGUAUGGUACAUAUGCAAGAAGCUGUGGCAACCAGCAUGGGAGCGUGGUUUGGGUUUGGCUUUGGGGUGACGAGGAGUUCUUGAAAGAUGGCUCAUAAACUGGAUCUGGCAGUGCAGACCUGUAACCCCACCCACUUGAGAAGCUAAGGCAGGAGAAUUACUAAUUCAUGGCUUUUCUGGGUUGUACAGGCCUUGUCUCAGAAAGUAGCAAAGACUGGGCAUAGGGUUUAGUGGUAGAGCCCUUGCCUGCCCUGAUUGGCUAGGUAGGCAUUAAAGGAAGUAACCAGAAGGGUUAGAGAUGGAGGAGGUGCCAUGUGUUUGUGCAGCCACAGGGAAGAGCAGGUCCCUAACCAGGUAUGGUGAUGAGACAAUGGGAAUUCAUACUAGAAUGAGGGAUGACAAGGACAUGUUGGUCUGUUGGCCUGGCCUGGGAUGAAUACAGUGAAGAGUCAGAGCGCUUAAGGAGGAGCAGCUUGAAUGCACUUGCUGCUCAGUCUAAUCCUUAGACUACAGAAAUACUUUCCAACCCUCUGAAUAUGAACCACUUAAUACUCUCCUUCCCGUAAAUUUAAAAAAUCUCCCACUUCAAAGCACUUAGGGCUGAAGAUGUCAUAGAGGCCUCAGAUAGGGUGGGGAGAGGAGGGAACUGUCUGGACCAGUAGUUGUCAGCCUGUGAGCUGCUACCUGUUUAGAGGUUUCAUAUCCGAUGUUUACAAGUCUUACAGUUAUAAGGUAGCAAUGACUUUAUGGUGGGGGGGUCACCAAAAUGUGAAGAACUGUAUUAAAGAAAUGGUUACAGCAUGAGGAAGGCUGAGAAGCAUUGAUCUAGACCCUGCUUCUAGCUAUCCUGUGGCUUUGCUGCCCACUUGCUCCCAAAGUCUCUGGAACCCAUACAGUACCUUACCUUUCAAUAAUGUGUAUAUCAAUAUAUUUAGUCAACAGAAAUUUUAAAUGUGAGAGGAAAAUUGGUAUAAAUAUAUAGAAUCUUUAUCACUGAAGUACCUCUGACUUAACUCUCCACUGAGAAAGAGGCUUUCCUGUGUGCGUCAGCUCUUUUUCCUGUGAAAGCAUUUCAAAGCAAAUACAGACAGAAUGACAAUUUAUCCCUCAGUCCUUCAACUGUAAGUCUUCAAAAGCCACCCAAAAUGAGGAUUAACUGACACGUUUAACAAUGACCCACGAGUUUACUGUUUCAAAACUAUUUUCAUGCCUCCCCAAGACUCUAGUAGGUAUCCAACAGCAGUCACCGUUUUGGGGAAGUGGUCUGAGGCAGUAUGUACUCUGGGUGACUGGGUACUGCCUGCCAAAGUCAGCCUCAUGUGUCUGGAGGAGGCUGAGGCACAUCUGUAGAAGGUUUUCUAGGUACCCCAUGGAUUGAAUGAUUGCAACCCAAUGGGAAGUUAGAUGUUAACCCUUAAACAUUUUCCACAGGUCUUCCAAGAGCUGCCAUCGAUGGCAUUAUCAUCCCCAUCAUCUCCAUGGUUGUGUUGAUGAUGCAGUGAUGAUUCCAUCAUUGUAGUGAAGUCCUAUUUAGGAACUUGUGACACAAAAUUCCUACGUCUGAGUAUCCGGGGGCAGCACAGGUACCAUGUGAGGGAGAUGUUCCUUGAGAUGCUUGCCUUGAAGCACUGGCCUCAGUAUGGAUACUCUGAGAGUCUUAUCUUAUGGAAAUUGGAAAGAACUGAUGGCCAAGCCCAGAAGGCAACCAUGUCUCAAGGAAUUUUCCCUCUGUGUCCUUUUCUGAUUUCCUUUGGAUGCUUUAAUUCAAGAAGCAGGUGAUAUUCACUGUGUUGGUUAAAUGGACACGUCAGAAGUUCUGUUCCAGCAGUCACUUCUGAAAGCUGCUUCUACUAGGCCAUGACUUCCAUCUUUGCUGCCAUCUAGGUGUGCUGGACUCUGUGCUGGGCUCCUGGGUCUCGGCUUGACCCCAGUACUGCCCAUGCAGCCCAUACCUGCCAUGGCUUUUGAGUCAUGGCCCUCAUCCCUACAAAGGAGGUCCUGACAACUGAAUUCUAAAUACCUUUGUGAAUUCUUGUCCUAGCUGUGAAUAUUUAUGCGUUACUUAACUUUCGUUACACUUGAAAGUAAACCUAAGUAUAAAACCCAGUUCUGUGUCUACACAAACAAGGAGAGGUUCGGUGUUGACUAUUAGAAAAAGAAGAGGGGCUGGAGAGAUGGCUCAGCAGUUAAGAGCACUGGCUGCUCUUGCAGAGGUCCUGAGUUCAAUUCCCAGCAACCACAUGGUGGCUCACAACCAUCUGUAAUGGGAUUAGAUGCCCUCUUCUGGUGUGUCUGAAGACAGCAACAAUACACUCGCAUAAAUAAAUAAAUCUUAAAAAAUAUAUAUUUAAAAAGAAAAAGAAGGGGGUGGAUGGAGAGGUGAACAUCCUUAUAGAAGAAGGGAAGAGGGAUGGAAUAGGGGGCUUAUGUCCGGUAAACCAGGAGAGGGAAUAGCAUUUGAAAUGUAAAUAAAAAAAUUCCAAUAAAAAAAAGAAAAAGAAGA